CCUCCAUGCCUUUCUCACAGUGAGAGGCCCAUAAUGAACACGGGAUUCAAGGUGCAGCCCCACCACUGCCAAGCACAGGGGCACAAAAUGGCCAUGUGUAUUCCUUUUAGCUCCAAACCAUCUACUACUGAAGAAGUGCACCUCAAGGGAAACAGGAUGUCUACCUUUUCAAGAGUAUAAAAAAAUAUUGCUAUUCUCAUAAGCAAGCAUAAAGGCUCAAAUUUGCAAAAUUUCCUCUUACUUUUUCAAAAUCCCAAGACUUAGCAUUUUUUCUGUGAUAAGCACAGAGGGGCCAAUGCUUCCACACUUUCACUGCCUUAUCUCAACUGGCUGUUUUUCUAAAAACCACGGUACUUUGAAGGAGGAAAGCAAUGAAUUUGGCCCUGCAGACAGCAAAAGAUUCCUCUUCAGCAGCUCUGAAGGAGCCAAAGGAGACCUCAGGCCUGGUGAGCUGCACUCCUGUUACUCCCCAGCGAUUUCAGAUCGCACGGCUUCGCACCGGCCCCUGCUCCUCAGUGCCACAAGAAACAAGACCAUGGCAUUUAUUGCUCUUUCACAGGGUGCCCUGAGAGGAGAUGUGUGCUGGGCAUGGAAAAAAGGGCAGCUGUUUUGCUUUUGUCCUUACAGGCAGCGUUUGGUUCAUGUGAUGUCAGUGUUUUGGGCGAUAAACCUUUCCCUUCCAAGCUGCCGCUCUUUACAGAAGGGGGAUUUGCAGCAGAGAGCAAAAUGUAGUGCACAGAAGAACUGUUAAGGAGACUUGCAUAGGAUCCCUCAAGAGCACUGCAGCUCAGACCUUCCACAGCCGAGGCAUGAAGCAGUUCAUACUGGUGGUACCUGCCCAGGAGCAAGAGGGCUGGAUCUAGUUUUGCAGGUUGUGCAUGAAUGGAGAGAAAUGGAAAGCAAACAUCAAGAGGCUUGCCUCACCACAGCAGAAUAAGCUGUCACACUAAUGCAUUUAAUUAAAAAUUAAAAAAAAAAAAAAAAGGCAAGAAGUAUGACAAAAGUAGAGCAGAUUUCAGCUAAAAACUCAGUUUGUCAAGGUAGGACAAUUCAGUUCACUGUCUGGAAGCACCCAACAAUAGGGCACAGCAACCAGCAGACGUGCCUGAUUAUUUCUGCAAUCUCACAGAGUGUUUCCAUGGAAAAGCAGCAGCCUCCUAGGUUUGACAUUCAACGUCUGACAGCUGAGCCAGCCAAAACUCAGACUCACAAGGCUCAAAGAGAGAUCACAGACAGCUCUUUGGAUCUGGUUCUGAGCAAUGGAAAAGUAAAUCCAGCUCGGGGAAGAGCCCAACCUCAGGGGUUCUGCUCUGUUCUUUUUAUUUACUAGUUGAGUUCCCAGUGAAAGCAGAACAGACAUCAGAGCAGCACAUGGGUGGGAGCUGUGGCCACAGGGCUUUCCUUUCUCCUUAGGCUUCAUUAAAGCAUUUCUGAAAAGUCUGUAUAGGAACUGAAGGACUGCUCUUGGACAGAACUGGCAAAACAAAGACAGAAAUGCUGGAAGAAAAAUAGCCUGUACAUUCCCUCCUCUAUAAAUUAUCCUACAGUAACAACCAGAAGCAGUAGGAGAGUAAGGAAAUGUAGAGAGACCAAUGCUACCACAAUGAAGUAAGUCACAACGUUAUGGGUAUUCAGUGAGCUUGUCUCCUCCGUGCAGAUACAGGAAGCUCUCAUAUUUCAUCAAUCAAACUUGGAAAGAAAAAAGGUUGUUAUAACUCCAGAACUUGAAGUUAGGCUUUGCAGAGGUAAUCUGACCACAGCAGGAGCAGUGGUGUUUGAGCAGUACUAAAUAUUACAUCAUGCUUUAGCCCACUGCAUGUGGAUAACUUAUUAGUGGCAAAGAAUGCAGAAAAAAAAUCUUAAAAUGCAUUUAGCAGAUCACUUCAUAUAAUACACAUUGAUUCGAUUUAAAUUCCUCAACAAACUCAUCAGGCACCACUUUGCCAGCAGUUUCUGGGGUCUAGAGACACCGGUGCCAGACCCAACCCAAACAAGCACUUUUCUGGGCGACCUGUAACAGUUUCCAGAACAACACCACAUUCAAUUUACAAUAAACCUUGCCUUUCUCUGCCCAGAAGCUCCUUCCACAGGUCAGCUCAGCACAAAACCAUCUAAAGAAACCUCAUUUUGGAAGGUAUUUGAUAAGGCAAACCUGGAGCAUGCUCCUUCCAUGCCUAGAGCUGACAUCUCCACUAAUAAGAGGAAGGAAAAGCAGCAUCACAAGAUUUACUGAUAACUGAUGAGACAACACCAACAAAACCUAAAAAUUCCACCCACUUCCCUGCUAGCUCACACAACACAGUUAGCUUUUUUUCAACCCAAAUCUACAGGGCCACUUGGGCCAACAGUAGCUAUGUGUUCCACUAGAGCCACCCAAAACACUCCUGGGUUUUAUUUUGUUUAUAUUUCAAUGGCUCGGAGAUUUCUUUGCAGCCUACCUCCUCCCACAAGAAUAAGCAAUCAGUUUCACAGCUGGGGGAAAAGAAAAAAAAAAAAAAGGAAAAAGAGGUUUUGCCAGAAAUUGCUUAGAAAAUUCUGAUGAAUACUGGAGGUUUUAGUCACAGUUAAGGCUUCCAGGUGGAUUCCUAACAAAUAUAUGACACUAGAGGCAUACAGCAGGUAAUCUCUAUUUCAGAUUAUUUUCUAUAAAAGUAAUCAGCCUAGUACAGUCUAUUGCUGUACAGCAUUGCUGGCAGCAAGCACCUCAUGAAGACUUGUAUUAUUAUUGCUACUAACAUAUAAUGCAACAAAGAGGGAUCUUGCAAGGAUUUUAUUACUUUGCUGCAAGGAAACACAAAAGAAUUUUAGAACAUGAGUCACUACAGUACCUUGAAAGGUCUAGAAUUUUUAUAGUUUGCCUUUAAUUGCACUUAGUACACAUAAGGAUAAGGGGAAAAAAAUAAACAGCAUAAAUCAAGAGACCCCUACAAAGAAAGAUUCCACAUUAUGAGAAAUGAGCAAGACUGACACAUGUGCACAGAACUAAUAAACUGAUUUUGCUUACUAAUAAAAAUUUUGGAGACA